UACGAAGGGGGCUAGCGUUGCUCGGAAUCACUGGGCGUAAAGCGCACGUAGGCGGCUUGCUAAGUCAGGGGUGAAAUCCUGGAGCUCAACUCCAGAACUGCCUUUGAUACUGGCGACCUUGAGUCCGGGAGAGGUGAGUGGGACUGCGAGUGUAGAGGUGAAAUUCGUAGAUAUUCGCAAGAACACCAGUGGCGAAGGCGGCUCACUGGCCCGGUACUGACGCUGAGGUGCGAAAGCGUGGGGAGCAAACAGG
rnacentral:rRNA from 1 species